UGAGGCAGGAGAAUUGCUUGAAUCCAGGAGGUGGAGGUUGCAGUAAGCUGAGAUCGAGCCACUGUACUCCAGCCUGGGUGACAGAGCAAGACUCUGUCUCA
rnacentral:miRNA from 1 species